rnacentral:tRNA from 1 species
GGUGAUGUAGCUCAGUGGUAGAGCAUUUGCCUAGCAUGCUCCAAGCCCUAGGGUACAUCCCUAGCAAUGCUA